AGUGAACGCUGGCGGUAGGCCUAACACAUGCAAGUCGAACGGCAGCACAGUAAGAGCUUGCUCUUACGGGUGGCGAGUGGCGGACGGGUGAGGAAUACAUCGGAAUCUACUUUUUCGUGGGGGAUAACGUAGGGAAACUUACGCUAAUACCGCAUACGACCUGCGGGUGAAAGCAGGGGAUCUUCGGACCUUGCGCGAUUGAAUGAGCCGAUGUCGGAUUAGCUAGUUGGCGGGGUAAAGGCCCACCAAGGCGACGAUCCGUAGCUGGUCUGAGAGGAUGAUCAGCCACACUGGAACUGAGACACGGUCCAGACUCCUACGGGAGGCGGCAGUGGGGAAUAUUGGACAAUGGGCGCAAGCCUGAUCCAGCCAUACCGCGUGGGUGAAGAAGGCCUUCGGGUUGUAAAGCCCUUUUGUUGGGAAAGAAAAGCAGCAGGUUAAUACCCCGCUGUUCUGACGGUACCCAAAGAAUAAGCACCGGCUAACUUCGUG
rnacentral:rRNA from 1 species